GUGCUUGCUUCAGCAGCACAUAUACUAAAAUUAGGACGAUACAGAGAAGUUUAGCAUGGCCCCUGCGCAAGGAUGACAUUCAAAUUCAUGAAGCGUUCCAUAUUUUU
rnacentral:snRNA from 1 species